AUACAUGCCAAGUCGAACGAACUCCUGGUAUUGAUUGGUGCUUGCAUCAUGAUUUACACUUCUGAGUGAGUGGCGAACUGGUGAGUAACACGUGGGAAACCUGCCCAGAAGCGGGGGAUAACACCUGGAAACAGAUGCUAAUACCGCAUAACAACUUGGACCGCAUGGUCCGAGCUUGAAAGAUGGCUUCGGCUAUCACUUUUGGAUGGUCCCGCGGCGUAUUAGCUAGAUGGUGGGGUAACGGCUCACCAUGGCAAUGAUACGUAGCCGACCUGAGAGGGUAAUCGGCCACAUUGGGACUGAGACACGGCCCAAACUCCUACGGGAGGCAGCAGUAGGGAAUCUUCCACAAUGGACGAAAGUCUGAUGGAGCAACGCCGCGUGAGUGAAGAAGGGUUUCGGCUCGUAAAACUCUGUUGUUAAAGAAGAACAUAUCUGAGAGUAACUGUUCAGGUAUUGACGGUAUUUAACCAGAAAGCCACGGCUAACUACGUGCCAGCAGCCGCGGUAAUACNNAGGUGGCAAAGCGUUGUCCUGGAUNUAAUUGGGCGUNAAGCGAGCGGCAGGCGGUUUUUUAAGUCUGAUGUUGAAAGCCUUCGGCUCAACCGAAGAAGUGCAUCGGAAACUGGGAAACUUGAGUGCAGAAGAGGACAGUGGAACUCCAUGUGUAGCGGUGAAAUGCGUAGAUAUAUGGAAGAACACCAGUGGCGAAGGCGGCUGUCUGGUCUGUAACUGACGCUGAGGCUNGAAAGUAUGGGUAGCAAACAGGAUUAGAUACCCUGGUAGUCCAUACCGUAAACGAUGAAUGCUAAGUGUUGGAGGGUUUCCGCCCUUCAGUGCUGCAGCUAACGCAUUAAGCAUUCCGCCUGGGGAGUACGGCCGCAAGGCUGAAACUCAAAGGAAUUGACGGGGGCCCGCACAAGCGGUGGAGCAUGUGGUUUAAUUCGAAGCUACGCGAAGAACCUUACCAGGUCUUGACAUACUAUGCAAAUCUAAGAGAUUAGACGUUCCCUUCGGGGACAUGGAUACAGGUGGUGCAUGGUUGUCGUCAGCUCGUGUCGUGAGAUGUUGGGUUAAGUCCCGCAACGAGCGCAACCCUUAUUAUCAGUUGCCAGCAUUAAGUUGGGCACUCUGGUGAGACUGCCGGUGACAAACCGGAGGAAGGUGGGGAUGACGUCAAAUCAUCAUGCCCCUUAUGACCUGGGCUACACACGUGCUACAAUGGAUGGUACAACGAGUUGCGAACUCGCGAGAGUAAGCUAAUCUCUUAAAGCCAUUCUCAGUUCGGAUUGUAGGCUGCAACUCGCCUACAUG
rnacentral:rRNA from 1 species